rnacentral:ncRNA from 1 species
UCCUGUCUCGCAAAAAGUAGCCGAUUGUGGCUGCCUGCCCUCCAUCUAUAAGCGAUGGAAGGGAUAGCGAGGCGGGUUAUU